AGUGAACGCUGGCGGCAGGCCUAACACAUGCAAGUCGAGCGGAUGAACGGAGCUUGCUCCUGGAUGCAGCGCGGGACGGGGACGGGAGGCCUAUGAAUCGGCCUCUGCGCAGUGGAUGACGUCCACAAAGGGGCGCUAAUACUACAUCCGCCCUGAACCUGCAGGUGGGGGAGCGUCGGACCUCACGCUCUCGCGUUUGCCUAAGUCGGAUUAGCUAGUUGGUGGGGUAAAGGCCCACCAAGGCGACGAUCCGUAACUGGUCUGAGAGGAUGAUCAGUCACACUGGAACUGAGACACGGUCCAGACUCCUACGGGAGGCAGCAGUGGGGAAUAUUGGACAAUGGGCGAAAGCCUGAUCCAGCCAUGCCGCGUGUGUGAAGAAGGUCUUCGGAUUGUAAAGCACUUUUAGUUGGGAAGAAGGGCAGUAAGCUAAUACCCUGCUGGUUUGACGUUACCCAAAGAAUAAGCACCGGCUAACUUCGUG
rnacentral:rRNA from 1 species